UCUGUCCUCCUUUGCCGUCGGCGCCGCCACUACCCCCAUCUCCCAGACCAUCACGCCGCUCAGGCCCAUCGCACCCUCCCCAGCUUGUGUAGUCUCCAUGUCGCACCUCUCAUUGGUCCCAGUUGGGGACCUCUCUGUGCCUGCGCGAGGCGACGAUGGCCUGGGAGUCGUCGGCCUAGGCCAAAGGCGGCACGUGGAGGUCACAGCACCAGUGCCCAAGGUCGAUGCGCGGAGGUUGCGACCCCUGCGGCUGAGGGUGUCGCACACGGAUGUCGCGGCCCCAACGGCCGAGGGCGGCUUGCUGAGGUCAUGGUCCCAGCGGUCGAUGGUGGUGCAUGGAGGUCGUGGCCCAGUGAGGAGUUGUCGUCGUUGCAGAUCUAUCUCCUUUGAGCCCUCAGCACGAUUGCCGAAUGUGGCUAAGCGUGACCUUCAUCUUAGUUGGAAUGGUUUUUUUCUCAAACAAUGGUAACAUUUGAUUCUAGAUGGAAGCAUUGACCAUGGUAAUUGUGCUGGCACUGGUAGUACUGGAUGUAUAUCCAUGUAGAGGUCUAACAACAAACCAGCGCCUAUCGUCAGGAAGCCAAAGAUCCGCUGUUGCUAGAGCUGAGACACAUGUAGGACGAGGACACUAUUGAUCUUCUACAAGCGUGAGCUUGUAAGGCAAGGAUCUUAUUUCUUGCUCUUCGGUGAUGGAUUUUGAUUGCAAUUCUAGCUAGCUAGUAUAUUAGAUUUCUUCAUGGAUUUUUAGAUAUGUAGAAAGAGUGGAACUUGUGGAUUUGACAAACUUGUGGAACUUGUGAUGAUAGAACUUUUAAAUUUGUAAAAUUGAUGAUGCAACUUGAAUUUGAUGUUUGUGA